CACCCCCGGCAAUCUCUCGCCGGAUUCCGGAUCCUGCACCCGUCAGUGCCCCUCCGGCUGGCCCUCCUGCUACAGCACCGAGACGCUCUACCCAUCGCACCAAGCAGCCUGCUUGGCACUCUGACUAUUUCAUACCGUGAUCAUUGUUGGCAGGUUUUCAAGAAGUAUUACAUUGAGCCGACGGGCAGCAACACAGAUGAGGACUUGCAGCUGAGAUUGGUGUCGAGGUUCGUCAACA